UACAGGGGGUGCAAACGUUGCUCGGAAUCAUUGGGCGUAAAGCGCACGUGGGCGGUUCGUUAUGUCGGAUGUGAAAGCCCUUGGCUUAACCGAGGAAGUGCAUCCGAAACUGGCGAGCUAGAGUACUAAAGAGGAUCGCGGAAUUCCCGGUGUAGAGGUGAAAUUCGUAGAUAUCGGGAGGAACACCGGUGGCGAAGGCGGCGAUCUGGGUAGAUACUGACGCUGAGGUGCGAAAGCGUGGGGAGCAAACAGG
rnacentral:rRNA from 1 species